rnacentral:rRNA from 1 species
UACGUAGGGGGCAAGCGUUGUCCGGAAUCAUUGGGCGUAAAGCGCGUGUAGGCGGUUCGGUAAGUCCGCUGUGAAAGCCCAGGGCUCAACCCUGGGAUGCCGGUGGAUACUGUCGGGCUAGAGUACGGAAGAGGCGAGUGGAAUUCCCGGUGUAGCGGUGAAAUGCGCAGAUAUCAGGAAGAACACCCGUGGCGAAGGCGGCUCUCUGGGACGGUACUGACGCUGAGACGCGAAAGCGUGGGGAGCGAACAGG